CUGAGGGCGAAGUCGCUUGCCCUGGGUCCCACAACCCGCGACCAACCGUGGUGAGCCCCGGUCGAGGCGCUGUGUGGUGCGUGGCCGUGCGCCGUCAGGACCCUGCCCGCAGCUGUGCCUCCCUCCUGCUGAGGGCUCAUCCCAGUGGGGACCUUUCUGGGAGGAGGCUGCCCUGCGCCUCAACGCUGUGGGCUCACAGAGGAGGAAAGGACCCCAUUCUCCCCGUACUUUCGGGGCGCUCACUUACCAGAACCAGCGACCUUUGAGCCCGGUCUUCGAGGAUGGGCAGAAGAGAGUGGGGAGGGCAUUCGAGUGUUGGGAACAGUGUGGACAGGCGGAGGCAGCAGCGGGGGUGGAGGAAGGGGGUGCCGGAACAGAUGCUGAGUGCAGCUGGGGCCACGGCUCAGUGGGAAGACGUCUUCUCCGACGCAGAGAGGGACAGAAGGAAGCAGGGAGGCCCGCGCUGGCGCCCCCCUGGGACACGGUCUUUGCUGCCCCCACAGCCCCGCCUGAUUCCCGUCAGGUGUCUGUGCCCUUGGGUCAAAUGGAGCCGGCUUCGCGUUUGGAAGGAGUGGGAGGAGGCACCCGCCUUCCAGUGGCCCAGCUCUGCGUGCGGCGCCCACGCCUGUGGCUUCCCGCCUGGCACGUCCACCGGGAAAUGGCACCUCUGGUCGCUGCGGCUGCCGCUCCGGAGGCGCCUGCUCGCCCUUUCGUGACCCGCCGUCCCCGCGCCUCGUCUCCGCCAGGGGCCCACACGGCCCGCGUGCAGGGGACCCUCCAGGGGAAGGGAUUGCGCUGCCUCCGCCUGGUUUCUGCCUUUCGUUUCCCGCAAACUCGUGGCAGUGGGUCCUCGGUGCGUGGGACCUUGUGGGAGUGGGUCCCGGUGCAUGUUGGAGUCUCCCCUCUGUCUUCAAGGCUGAAAUAUUAAUAUUCUACUGGACGGACCGGGCUUUGUUCGCCCGUCAAUGGGAGGCUGUAGGUUUUACGUUGGCAGAUUUCCUCUCCUUCCUCGAUGGCUUCUGAUGUUCUUCUCAGAACGCCUUCCAGACUUCAAGACCAUAAGCAAACACACUCGUGAUCUUUUCUAGAACCUUCCCAGAUUGCCUGUUGCUUGUUUCUCUUUCAGUGAUGGGAGGCUUGAUCCACCAGGAAUUUUAUUUUGGUUUAGGGACGUAAGCACAUCGGAUCUUCCCAAACAGCCAUGCGUGCUGACACGGCCACUGAGCAGAAGUGUCUCUGUGCCUACUGAUCCGACAGAAACCGCGUCCCUGUACGUGUGGGGGUCUCUGUCAGGUCUGCGUGUUCACUGAGCACCUGGG
rnacentral:lncRNA from 1 species